rnacentral:rRNA from 1 species
UACAGAGGUGGCAAUCGUUGUUCGGAAUUACUGGGCGUAAAGGGCGCGUAGGCGGUUCGUUAAGUCCUGUGUGAAAUCCCUCGGCUCAACUGGGGAACUGCACAGGAAACUAGCGGGCUUGAGGACUGGAGAGGAGACUGGAAUUCAUGGUGUAACAGUGAAAUGCGUAGAGAUCAUGAGGAAGACCAGUGGCGAAGGCGGGUCUCUGGACAGUUCCUGACACUGAGACACGAAGGCCAGGGGAGCAAACGGG